UAAUCCUGUAUAAAAAUUGUAACAAACACACUGAAAGUUUAGAAGGUGUCCAGGAGAGACUUCACGAACGGGUGACACUGGACAUGCUGGGGCUUGGAGGAAAAACACAAAUAUGUGGCCACGAUAAAAAACGGUAAGCAAUUUUAAGCUUAUACAUUUGUGUUUUUUCUGCCAAGGACCUGCUUGUAAUGGUAAAAAGUCACUUGAACUGUUUCUCCAGCUAUAACGAACUACAAGUAAAACUAAAAAA